CUUCCCACGAGGACAUUAUACUCAGUGGAGUCUCUUUCAGUUUUGAAGUGCCCUGACCAGGAAUUGCCAAAAUGAUUUCAUCCAUCAUUUCUGAAGAAGGAAUUGGAGCGCGAGUAGCCCUGAACGAACCACUCACCAGACGAUCUGCUGAAAGUAAAAGAAUAAAACGCUAACCGGAA